rnacentral:rRNA from 1 species
CUGCUGCCUUCCGUAGGAGUUUGGGCCGUGUCUCAGUCCCAAUGUGGCCGUUCACCCUCUCAGGCCGGCUACUGAUCGUCGCCUUGGUGGGCCGUCCUACCCCGACCCAACC